AGCGAACGCUGGCGGCAGGCCUAACACAUGCAAGUCGAACGCACUCUUCGGAGUUAGUGGCGGACGGGUGAGUAACACGUGGGAACGUGCCUUUAGGUUCGGAAUAACUCAGGGAAACUUGUGCUAAUACCGAAUGUGCCCUUCGGGGGAAAGAUUUAUCGCCUUUAGAGCGGCCCGCGUCUGAUUAGCUAGUUGGUGAGGUCACGGCUCACCAAGGCGACGAUCAGUAGCUGGUCUGAGAGGAUGGCAAGCCACACUGGGACUGAGACACGGCCCAGACUCCUACGGGAUGCAGCAGUGGGGAAUCUUGCGCAAUGGGCGAAAGCCUGACGCAGCCAUGCCGCGUGAAUGAUGAAGGUCUUAGGAUUGUAAAAUUCUUUCACCGGGGACGAUAAUGACGGUACCCGGAGAAGAAGCCCCGGCUAACUUCGUGCCAGCCGCCGCAGUAA
rnacentral:rRNA from 1 species